UUUUUAUGAGAGUUUGAUCCUGGCUCAGGAUGAACGCUGGCGGCGUGCUUAACACAUGCAAGUCGAACGAAGACAUCUGAGUGCUUGCACUUGGAUGGACUGAGUGGCGGACGGGUGAGUAACGCGUGGGUAACCUGCCUUAUA
rnacentral:rRNA from 2 species